GAUGAACGCUGGCGGCGUGCUUAACACAUGCAAGUCGAACGAUGAUCCCCAGCUUGCUGGGGGGAUUAGUGGCGAACGGGUGAGUAACACGUGAGUAACCUGCCCUUGACUCUGGGAUAAGCCUGGGAAACUGGGUCUAAUACCGGAUAUGACCUUCCAUCGCAUGGUGGUUGGUGGAAAGCUUUUGUGGUUUUGGAUGGACUCGCGGCCUAUCAGCUUGUUGGUGGGGUAAUGGCCUACCAAGGCGACGACGGGUAGCCGGCCUGAGAGGGUGACCGGCCACACUGGGACUGAGACACGGCCCAGACUCCUACGGGAGGCAGCAGUGGGGAAUAUUGCACAAUGGGCGCAAGCCUGAUGCAGCGACGCCGCGUGAGGGAUGACGGCCUUCGGGUUGUAAACCUCUUUCAGUAGGGAAGAAGCGUAAGUGACGGUACCUGCAGAAGAAGCGCCGGCUAACUACGUGCCAGCAGCCGCCGUAACAC
rnacentral:rRNA from 1 species